GACGAACGCUGGCGGCGUGCUUAACACAUGCAAGUCGAACGGAAAGGCCCUGCUUUUGUGGGGUGCUCGAGUGGCGAACGGGUGAGUAACACGUGAGUAAACUGCCCUUGACUUUGGGAUAACUUCAGGAAACUGGGGCUAAUACCGGAUAGGAGAUCCUGAUGCAUGGUGGGGGUUGGAAAGUUUCGGCGGUUGGGGAUGGACUCGCGGCUUAUCAGCUUGAUGGUGGGGUAGGGGAUUACCAAGGCUUUGAAGGGUAGCCGGACUUAGAGGGUGACCGGCCACAUUGGGACUGAGAUACGGACCAGACUGCUACGGGAGGCAGCAGUGGGGAAUCUUGCACAACGGGCGGAAGCCAGAUGCAGCAACGCCGCGUGCGGGAUGCCGGCUUUCGGGUUGUAAACCGCUUUCGCCUGUGACGAAGCGUGAGUGACGGUAAUGGGUCAAGAAGCACCGGCUAACUACGUG
rnacentral:rRNA from 1 species